AUUGGUUGUUUUAUUGAUAAGCGCAGGUUUAAAAAGGAACUGAUAUUUACAGCCUCUGUCAUAAACUUCACCUCCAGCUGAUAUUGACUUCCUUCAGACAAACAGCCACGUCGACAGUCCAGAGCAGACAAGAUGAAGAUGGCAGUCAUGUUCACUCUCGCCCUGGUUCUGAUCCUGGGUAAAGUCGAAGCUUACAGUAGACAUCCGUGUCAGUACAACUCUAACAACAAUGCAUACGACAAUUUUUUUCGGAAGCACUUUCUUCAGUAUUCUUUUGACACUGCUUUAGAUGAGGAAUGGCAAAGGUACUUGGAAAAUAAUGAACUCUGCCGCACAAACAGACUACACU